CAACCCUCAGGCCCCCCGGGGACUGGUGUUGGGGAUCGGCCCGCCCUGGCGCGGCGCCGGCCCCGAAAUACAGUGGCGGUCUCGCUGCAGCCUCCCCUGCGUAGUAGCACACCUCGCAUCGGAGAGCGGCGCGGCCACGCCGUGAAACCCCAACUUCUGAU
rnacentral:misc_RNA from 2 species